AUUGAACGCUGGCGGCUUGCUUUACACAUGCAAGUCGAACGGUAACAGGCCGCAAGGUGCUGACGGGUGGCGAACGGGUGAGUAAUGCAUCGGAACGUGCCAGUCGUGGGGGAUAACGCAGCGAAAGCUGCGCUAAUACCGCAUACGAUCUAUGGAUGAAAGCGGGGGACCGUAAGGCCUCGCGCGAUUGGAGCGGCCGAUGUCAGAUUAGGUAGUUGGGGGGUAAAGGCUCACCAAGCCAACGAUCUGUAGCUGGUCUGAGAGGACGACCAGCCACACUGGGACUGAGACACGGCCCAGACUCCUACGGGAGGCAGCAGUGGGGAAUUUUGGACAAUGGGCGCAAGCCUGAUCCAGCAAUGCCGCGUGCAGGAAGAAGGCCUUCGGGUUGUAAACUGCUUUUGUACGGAACGAAACGGUCCGGGUUAAUACCCUGGGCUAAUGACGGUACCGUAAGAAUAAGCACCGGCUAACUACGUGCCAGCAGCCGCCGUAAGAC
rnacentral:rRNA from 1 species